rnacentral:rRNA from 1 species
GUAGGGGGCAAGCGUUGUCCGGAUUUAUUGGGCGUAAAGAGCGUGUAGGCGGCCAGACAGGUCCGUUGUGAAAACUAGAGGCUCAACCUCUAGACGUCGAUGGAAACCGUCUGGCUAGAGUCCGGAAGAGGAGAGUGGAAUUCCUGGUGUAGCGGUGAAAUGCGCAGAUAUCAGGAAGAACACCCGUGGCUAAGGCGGCUCUCUAGUACGGUACUGACGCUGAGACGCGAAAGCGUGGGGAGCGAACAGGAUUAGAUACCCUGGUAGUCCACGCCGUAAACGAUGGGUGCUAGGUGUGGGGGGUGUCGACUCCCUCCGUGCCGAAGCUAACGCAUUAAGCACCCCGCCUGGGGAGUACGGCCGCAAGGCUAAA